rnacentral:lncRNA from 1 species
GGGGCUAGCUUCCUAGUUGGUAGCCGAGAAGCCCAGGUGAUUGGCCGUCAACACCUGCAAAACCUGCCCUCCUAUUGGUUGGGGCUGCCGCCUUCCUCCUUUCUCGGUAAAGAGCGCACUUCAGCUGGGUAGCGGAUCCCGCAGGCUCGGAGCGUCGGUGACCCGCUCGGCUCCAUGGCGUCCCAGAGUCGUCGGCGGAGGCCGCUGCGGAGGCCUGAGACGAUGGUGCCGGGGGAGGCGGCCGAGACCGACUCGGAGCUCUCUGCGUCUCGGAGGAGGAGGAGCUGUACCUGGGCCCCUCGGGCCCGACGCGUGGCCGCCCCACGGGGCUGCGGGUGGCUGGCGAGGCCGCGGAGACCGACUCCGACACGGAGCCGGAGCCGAAGGCCGCGCCGAGGGACCUGCCUCCGCUCGUGGUGCAGCGGGAGACGGCCGGGGAGACCUGGGGUGAGGAGGAGACGCCGGCACCCGCCCCUGCGCUUUCGCUGCUGCAGCUCCGGCUGGCCGAGAGCCAGGCGCGGCUGGACCACGACGUAGCGGCCGCGGUGAGCGGCGUGUACCGUCGUGCGGGCCGUGAUGUGGCCGCCUUGGCCGGUAGGCUGGCGGCUGCCCAGGCCGCGGGAUUGGCGGCGGCCCACAGCGUGCGCCUGGCGCGGGGGGACCUCUGCGCACUGGCGGAGCGCCUGGACAUCGUAGCCGGCUGCCGCUUGCUGCCCGACAUCCGCGGCGUGCCGGGAACCGAGCCUGAACAAGACCCGGGACCGCGAGCCUAGCCAUGACCCACUCUCCUGCCUGACUGCGCCCUGGCGGCCUUUGGGAUGUCGCUCUGUGUCCUGUGUAGCCACCCACCCAACUUGCUGUCACCCUCAGGGCUGACCUUGCCCCCUGGAAAAUGCUCUCCCGUGUUUGUGUAGAGGGAUGGGGUGGGGGGAGGUGUGCAGCCGCGCCGGGCCCUAGCCCCGACCCUGGCCCCUACUCCGGGGUUCACAGUCUCUUGUUUGAAGCUUGGCUCUAACUCUUGGGUAAAUAGCCGCUCCCUGAUCUGUCUCCAUCUUGGGGGCUCACGGAGCCUCACCUUUCUUUUCCUCUGCCUUUCUCAGUUUGGAGUUUGGUUUUUGUUCACAGGGGCUGGUCCUGCUUGUUUCUUCCCACAGGAGCUCCAGAAUCUGGCACAGAUUCCUUGAUGUCUUCCUUUACUCUCUUGGUUCCGCCCCCCUCCCCUUUUUUUUUGUCUUUUCUAGGGCCGCACCUGCUGCGUAUGGAGGUUCCCAGGCUAGGGGUCGAAUCCGAGCUGUAGCCCCCAGCCUACACCAGAGCCACAGUAACGUGGGACCCGAGCUUCAUCUGCGACCUACAGCACAGCUCACGGCAACACCAGAUCCUUAAUCCACUGAGUGAGGCCAGGGAUUGAACCCACAACCUCAUGGUUCCUAGUCUGAUUCGUUAACCACUGAGCCACAAUGAGAACUCCGGUUCCGGCUCUCUGGUCUUAGCCCCACUUCUGCAAUUCUGUCCCUCUAGUCUGGGCCCUUUCUCUGCUCCCAGGCUUGGCCCAGAUUCUGUCUCCUUCGAGUCCUUGCUCUGCCUUCUCCUGGCUCCUUCUCCUUGGGCUUAGCGCCACCCCCUUGGCCUGAUCUUGUUCCCUGCGUCCAGCUGUACCCUUAGGUUUGGUUCUCCUUUUUGCUUCUUUCAUCCUAUUUAAACUACCAGCUUAUUUAAUUCUGGGCUCUGGGGACCCCCCUGAUGGUUUCUUCAUCAGGGUGAUGCCCCCUCCUGACCCUAGGAGGUGCUCCUCCCAGCUCUCCAGGCCCAAGCUGAUCUGUCUGCUCCACCCUCAAGGCCAAGAUGGUGCUUCCUGCCCAGGCUGCCAGUACAAGACAGGCCUCCUCCUGCUUCUUCAGGCCGAGAGUGGCCCCCAGCUGGCACUUAGGGGCCAAAUCAGACCUUCCCUGGAACAUUGGGUAGAGUGUGACACGGCUUUCCAAAUAAGGACUACGUGCAUUUUGUUUGUUCCCUGGAUGUUGAAGGGACCUGGAUUUCUGGUGGGGCAGGGCCCGGGCUCAGCUCCUUCUCUCUCCCACCUGCUCUGUCUCUUCCCUGCCCUAGUCCCUUGGUCCCAUUUGCACUUGGUCCCCUCCCCCCUCUCUUGUCCCAAGCUGAAGCCAAGCCCCCAGGAUGGAGAAGUGGGCAGGAGCGCUCUAGGCAGACUCCUUAACACAGAAGGCAUUUCUUCAUUUGGUUAGUUCCUCUUGUCUGCCAUCUAAGCUGGGGGUGCGUUGGUGAUUUCGCCCAAAAUGUCAGUCCCAAGAAAGGGACCCUUCACUUAACAGAGGUGAAGCCGUAGCUGGGAAAUCAGGGCCCAGAUAUUUUGGCCCUGGUUCUGCACUUAUUUGUAUUUUGUUACUUCACCACAUGUUUACUGAGCUCCUGUUCUGUGCUUGUCCAGUGCUGGGCAUUGGGGGUGCAGCAGCCAGGCCGGGCCCUCACGGAGAUAACAGUCCACUGGGGAGACAGACAUGAAUGGAAUGUUCUCCUAAAUAAAUGGAUAGUUAAUCGUUG